UGCCAGUCAGCUCAGUUGGUCACAGUGUGGUGCUGGUAACACCAAAGUCAUGGGUUUGAUCCCCGUAUUGGCAC